rnacentral:rRNA from 1 species
UACGUAGGUCCCGAGCGUUGUCCGGAUUUAUUGGGCGUAAAGCGAGCGCAGGUGGUUUAUUAAGUCUGGUGUAAAAGGCAGUGGCUCAACCAUUGUAUGCAUUGGAAACUGGUAGACUUGAGUGCAGGAGAGGAGAGUGGAAUUCCAUGUGUAGCGGUGAAAUGCGUAGAUAUUAGGAGGAACACCGGCGGCGAAGGCGGCUUACUGGACUGUAACUGACGUUGAGGCUCGAAAGCGUGGGGAGCAAACAGG